CACGCCGUAAACGAUGAAAACUAGACGCUGGUAGGGGUAAAGCUCUGUUGGUGUUGAAGCUAACGCGAUAAGUUUUCCGCCUGGGGAGUACGGUCGCAAGAUUAAAACUCAAAGGAAUUGACGGGGGCCCGCACAAGCGGUGGAACAUGUGGUUUAAUUCGAUGCAACGCGAAAAACCUUACCUACCCUUGACAUCCUUGGAAUUUGACUGAAAGGUUGAAGUGCCCGCGAGGGAGCCAAGAGACAGGUGC
rnacentral:rRNA from 1 species